rnacentral:rRNA from 1 species
CACGUAGGGCGCAAGCGUUGUCCGGAAUUAUUGGGCGUAAAGGGCGCGUAGGCGGGAUGGCAAGUCGGUCGUGAAAUCUCUCGGCUCAACCGAGAAACGUCGGCCGAUACUGCCGUUCUUGAGGGAUGCAGAGGAGACUGGAAUUCCCGGUGUAGCGGUGAAAUGUGUAGAGAUCGGGAGGAACACCGGUGGCGAAGGCGGGUCUCUGGGCAUUUCCUGACGCUGAGGCGCGAAAGCGUGGGGAGCAAACGGG